GUGCUCGCUUUGGCAGCACAUAUACUAAAGUUGGAAUGAUACAAAGAUUAGCAUGGCCCCUGCACAAGGAUGACUGGUAACAUUACUUUUU
ensembl:snRNA U6 U6 spliceosomal RNA